rnacentral:rRNA from 1 species
UACGAAGGGGGCUAGCGUUGUUCGGAAUCACUGGGCGUAAAGGGCGCGUAGGCGGCUUUAUAAGUCGGGGGUGAAAGCCUGUGGCUCAACCACAGAAUUGCCUUCGAUACUGGCAAUCUUGAGUCCGGGAGAGGUGAGUGGAACUGCGAGUGUAGAGGUGAAAUUCGUAGAUAUUCGCAAGAACACCAGUGGCGAAGGCGGCUCACUGGCCCGAUACUGACGCUGAGGCACGAAAGCGUGGGGAGCAAACAGG